rnacentral:rRNA from 1 species
GACGAACGCUGGCGGCGUGCUUAACACAUGCAAGUCGAACGGAAAGGCCCUGCCUUUGUGGGGUGCUCGAGUGGCGAACGGGUGAGUAACACGUGAGUAACCUGCCCUUGACUUUGGGAUAACUUCAGGAAACUGGGGCUAAUACCGGAUAGGAGCUCCUGCUGCAUGGUGGGGGUUGGAAAGUUUCGGCGGUUGGGGAUGGACUCGCGGCUUAUCAGCUUGUUGGUGGGGUAGUGGCUUACCAAGGCUUUGACGGGUAGCCGGCCUGAGAGGGUGACCGGCCACGUUGGGACUGGGAUACGGCCCAGACUCCUACGGGAGGCAGCAGUGGGGAAUAUUGCACAAUAGGCGGAAGCCUGAUGCAGCAACGCCGCGUGCGGGAUGACGGCCUUCGGGUUGUAAACCGCUUUCGCCUGUGACGAGGCGUGAGUGACGGUAAUGGGUAAAGAAGCACCGGCUAACUACGUG